rnacentral:lncRNA from 1 species
CAACAGGGAAGCACAGCAACAGUCAUGGGUGAAAGAAAAUUAUUCCCAAGAGCACACUGUUCAGCCAUGAAGAAAAACACCAAACUUGGUGCCCAAGGUCUAAAGCUCAGGAGAAAUCAGGACACGUCUAAUGAGGAUCAGGCAGUGGGGCUUCAAUGAAAAAGUAACAUACAGUCAUCUCCCUUUUUAUUUUCUUUUGCUGCUGUUUCCAUGGGAAUCUCUAUUUGUGGUGAAAUGAAUACUUCCUUUUCAAGUAAAUGCAGGAAUGUGGACAAGUCAUUCUUCAAGCAAUAUUUCUGCUACUAAAUAUAAUGUUCUCUUGGUUCUAGAAUGUAGUAUUUAAAAUAGAAUUUUAAAAGACAGGCAAGUUAGAUGAGGUCUAACAUGCCUAAAGAGAGAAAGAAAUUAAACUGCAGAUGAAAACAAGCAGGGCUUUGCCAUGGUAUUAUCUUCUCUUCCCAGUCAGAAAUCCAAGUGAGGUGGGCAGGCAGUUCUUUCACUCCAAAGUGUUUUGCACUCAAGCUAUUCCUCCAGUCCCAACUGCCUCUGCUGCAGCCAGUCCUGUCUCUGUCCAAUCUCCACACUCCACUGCCCAGGCUCUGCACUCCUCAGCCUCAGGUUCCAAGUCUCAAUGCCAAGGCCUUGCACUGCUCUCAGGGCGCUCUGCAAUGAUAGUUUGGAAAGAGAUGCAGAAAUUUCCUGUUACUCUGCUGCUGUAUUAUCUCCAUCCCAAGAAUGUCAAGAGAAUUAAAGGGGAAAAAUGUGAAGGAAACUGGCCUAGCCAUACCAAACUUCAAAUUAUAUCACAAAAUGGUCUUUAAAAAAUCUGGUCCUGGCUAAGAAACUGAGUAGUGGGUCAGUGGAAUAGAUGACAUACACAAUGCGCAGGAGGAAAUGACAUUGUAAUCUAGUGCUUGAUCAGUUUAUUUAAAUAUGAAAAGCAGUGUAUUAUAUGUGUGUGUGUGUGUGUGUGUGUGUGUGAUCAUGGGGUCUUCUACUAUUUAUUACAGAAUAAUUGAUGGGCAUAUGUUAUAGACAAGAUCAUUAACAACAACCAAAAAUUAACUAUGUUAAGCUUUUACUCAUCUUAGGUAUACUGACCUUAGGACUUUUCAGAAGUUGCCAUUUUUCCAUCUUUUGUACCAUACAUUUAUUGUAGUAUUGACAGAUAACACAUGUUGAUUGUUUAUUUGAUUCCAUAGUAUAUUGAUAAACUCCUGUGCACAAUAUCAUUGCAACUUUACCUUGCAUUGUUUUGAGGAAUUAUGGCAGUAAAAAUGCACAUCAUCCAACUGUUUCCCUAUCAGCACUGCACACAAGGUGGGAGUAUGAGGUUGUUUUGUAAAUCACAGAUAUUAUCCAAAAGCCUAAAUGGUUUAGACAAAUUGAGG